rnacentral:rRNA from 1 species
UACAGAGGGGGCAAACGUUAUUCGGAAUUACUGGGCUUAAAGGGUGCGUAGGCUGCGCAGAAAGUUGGGUGUGAAAUCCCUCGGCUUAACCGAGGAACUGCGCCCAAAACUACUGUGCUUGAGGGAGACAGAGGUGAGCGGAGCUUAGGGUGGAGCGGUGAAAUGCGUUGAUAUCCUAAGGAACACCCGUGGCGAAAGCGGCUCACUGGGUCUCUUCUGACGCUGAGGCGCGACAGCGUGGGGAGCAAACAGG